rnacentral:rRNA from 1 species
CGUGAGCAAUCUGCCCAUAUCAGGGGGAUAACAGUUGGAAACGACUGAUAAUACCGCAUAAUAUUGUUGGAAGGCAUCUUCCGACAAUCAAAGAUUUAUCGGAUAUGGAUGAGCUCGCGUCUGAUUAGCUUGUUGGUGAGGUAACGGCUCACCAAGGCGACGAUCAGUAGCCGACCUGAGAGGGUGAUCGGCCACAUUGGGACUGAGACACGGCCCAAACUCCUACGGGAGGCAGCAG